rfam:Brevundimonas sp. Root1423 contig_3, whole genome shotgun sequence.
GUCUUGCUGCGGCCCACGUCGAAGGCAACAUUUCCUUGCGACCUUAAUUCACUCGAAGGGAGCUGUCCCUGACCAGGCUCGUGGGCCUGGGCACACGGCGCCCACCUGGCUACCCAGGUCGAGAGGAUUGAAACGCUCUUCACGGUUCUCGCGGCGCCGCC